GACAAAUGCUUGAGAACAGCUCAGGAAUCCAAAGUUGUUGACAAGAUUCUUCUUGCCAACGGGAGUAUCAGAGUUGACAUUUAAUUCAUCAGAUGAGAGAAUCAUCGCUCUCUCAUAUUUAACAGUGUACAUAAAGUCUCUGGGGGUAAGAUGGCCUCCUGGGAGAUGGAGAGAUCCAGAACUCUGGUCGCCAUCUUUUCCCCUUUCUUUUCCUGCUUUGAACAACUAUUUAUUCAAGCCGAAACGAGUACUUUAAAAAAAGCCAUCAAAGACUUGUGGGGAAAGGAGGAAGCAUGUUCUUAGACGUGCCAGCAUCCUAAACAUAAGCGUUAAAUAAGUCAAGUGAGAUAGGUUUUGGUGAAUGGCGAUAAGAGCAGAGGAGCCACAGGGCUUGUGAGGUGCUGGGGGGCGGUUGGAUGCGGUAGACUGGGCUUCUAUUCACUGAGGGCUUGGCUGCUUCUAUCCUCCAAUCCCUGAACUGUCUGGACUGUCACGUGAACAACCGCGGGGCUCUUAAACUCACCCGAGCGUCAGAAUACAUGGAAGAUCCAAGCAGCAGAAUGAAUGCCGUGCAGUGUUUAUACUCCAGAGACUCACAGGGAGGGAGGACACGUUUAGAAAAAUUAGUGACACUGAGGACUCGGCCUUAUUUUGAAGACUCUGUAGUGCCCUUGCUGGAACAGCCAGCUGUAAGCACAAUGUCAACAGGUUAUCUUCUUAAAGAUUUGUGUGUAUUUUAUUCGUGUGUGGAUGCCUGCGGAGGUCAGCGCAGGGUGUUUUCUGGAUUCACUGAAGUCGGAUGUACACAGAUUCCAAAUGGAUUCUGGGAACUGGAUUCAAGUCCUCUCCGAAAGCAGCAAGUGCUCUCAACCUGUGGGUUUCUGCCUGAAGAUGGUUCCUUUGCUCAGGUUGAAAACAGUUCACCAUGUGACUAUGGUGGCAACUUCAUUGUUCCUACGGCUUACCUGACAGAUUUUAUUUUGCAUAAUAAUCUUAAAAGAACAGGUGAGAAUAUUUCUCACUAUUAUGAUGGAAACACACAAUAGAAAUAAACUAUGAAGAAGUAUAGAUUUGCAAAGUGAGAGCCAAGGUAACCAACUGUGCCUUCAUUUAUAUUUUUCUAAAUAAAGGUACUUCUGCACAAAAGAGA